AAGCAACGCGCAGAACCUUACCAGCCUUUGACAUCCUAGGACGGUUUCUGGAGACAGAUUCCUUCCCUUCGGGGACCUAGUGACAGGUGCUGCAUGGCUGUCGUCAGCUCGUGUCGUGAGAUGUUGGGUUAAGUCCCGCAACGAGCGCAACCCUCAUCCUUAGUUGCCAUCAUUUAGUUGGGCACUUUAAGGAAACUGCCGGUGAUAAGCCGGAGGAAGGUGGGGAUGACGUCAAGUCCUCAUGGCCCUUACAGGCUGGGCUACACACGUGCUACAAUGGCAUCUACAGUGGGCAGCUAUCACGCAAGUGUGAGCUAAUCUCCAAAAGAUGUCUCAGUUCGGAUUGUUCUCUGCAACUCGAGAGCAUGAAGGCGGAA
rnacentral:rRNA from 1 species